CCGAAUGAUGAAUGGCACUGGGCUCCGACAGCCAAAAUGGCUGGUCUUGAUGGAUAUGCCCUAUUGUGGCAGGCCUAGAAAACCUUGCCCACUGAUC
rnacentral:snoRNA from 1 species